rnacentral:rRNA from 1 species
AAAAACAUAUUUAAUAGAAAUCAUUAUUAAUAUUACCUGCUCAAUGAAAGUAAAUAGCCGCAGCUCAUACUGUGCUAAGGUAGCAUAAUCAUUUGUCUUUUAAUUAAAGACUAGAAUGAAGGGUUUAACAUUUAAAUUACUUUAAAAUAUUCUUCACUAAAUUUAUUUAAAAUGUAAAAAAACAUUUAUUUUUUAGAUAGACGACAAGACCCUAUUGAACUUUACUGGAGUUUAACUGGGGCAGUUAAUUAAUUAAUAUUUUAAUUACUAAUUUUACAAAAAUGACCCAAUCCAAUUGAUUAAUUGAUCAAGCUACCAUAGGGAUAACAGCGUAAUAUCUUUUUAUAGAUCGUAUUUAAAAAAAUGUUUACGACCUCGAUGUUGAAUUAAUUAUUCUAAUAAGUGCACCAACUUAAAAAGAAAGUCUGUUCGACUUUUAAAUAAUUAC